UACAGAGGAGCCAAGCGUUGUCCGGAUUGACUGGGCGUAAAGCGCACGCAGGCGGUUGCGCGCGUGGGGUGUGAAAUCUGGCCGCUUAACGGCCAGGCGCCAUCCCAUACGGCGCGACUGGAGUGAUGCAGAGGUCGAUGGAAUUGCCGGUGUAGUGGUGAUAUGCGUAGAUAGUCGGCAGGAACACCCAAGGGGGAAGCCAACGGACUGGGCAUGUGCUGACGCUCAGGUACGACAGCGUGGGGAGCAAACUGG
rnacentral:rRNA from 1 species